UUAUAUCUGACAUACAAAAGUCACAUUAAUUAUGAGAGGUGGAACAAAAAACAUCAUUAAUCACAUGCUAAACAUUAACAAUUGUUGUUCGAAUUCAGAUGAAACAAAAAAAAAGUUCAUUCAACUCAGGAUACUUAAAACUACUUGUUUGACUCAAGUACUUUUCCACCAUUCCAUUUCUUACAAGUAUGGAGAACCUCUGCAAUCUUCUAAGGGUGAUGAAUAUUUAAUUUGGCUACAGUUCGUGUUGGCCAUUUCAUCUGCUUCUCAAGGCAAUUGUACAAGCAACUCUUCAAUGCCGUGAUCAAUCAGAUUUGAGAGAUCUUAAAUGUUCAUAAAUUUCAAUGCCUUUACCACAAAAUGAAUAAACAAUUUGCUUCCAUAUCAACUUUGCUCGGUGUUUGUUCUUCGAGAUCACAGAACUCAAGAUGCAGAGAGGGAAACAACAGUCCAAUUUAAGGAACAUCGCCCCCACAUCUCCAUAAAUUUCUUGUAUCACUAAAAUCAACAUAGCCUUCCCUCUUUUCAAGUCUUUCAUUCAACUCUUACACACAGUAAUCAUCACCACAUGAGCUACUUCUCAUGAAACUUUCUGACCAUCACUCACUCACUCACACCAUGCUUAACAUUGUUUUUCAUGACUUUUGUU